rnacentral:rRNA from 1 species
AGAGUUUGAUCCUGGCUCAGGAUGAACGCUAGCUACAGGCUUAACACAUGCAAGUCGAGGGGCAGCAUGGUCUUAGCUUGCUAAGGCCGAUGGCGACCGGCGCACGGGUGAGUAACACGUAUCCAACCUGCCGUCUACUCUUGGACAGCCUUCUGAAAGGAAGAUUAAUACAAGAUGGCAUCAUGAGUCCGCAUGUUCACAUGAUUAAAGGUAUUCCGGUAGACGAUGGGGAUGCGUUCCAUUAGAUAGUAGGCGGGGUAACGGCCCACCUAGUCUUCGAUGGAUAGGGGUUCUGAGAGGAAGGUCCCCCACAUUGGAACUGAGACACGGUCCAAACUCCUACGGGAGGCAGCAGUGAGGAAUAUUGGUCAAUGGGCGAGAGCCUGAACCAGCCAAGUAGCGUGCAGGAUGACGGCCCUAUGGGUUGUAAACUGCUUUUAUAAGGGAAUAAAGUGAGUCUCGUGAGACUUUUUGCAUGUACCUUAUGAAUAAGGACCGGCUAAUUCCGUGCCAGCAGCCGCGGUAAUACGGAAGGUCCGGGCGUUAUCCGGAUUUAUUGGGUUUAAAGGGAGCGUAGGCCGGAGAUUAAGCGUGUUGUGAAAUGUAGACGCUCAACGUCUGCACUGCAGCGCGAACUGGUUUCCUUGAGUACGCACAAAGUGGGCGGAAUUCGUGGUGUAGCGGUGAAAUGCUUAGAUAUCACGAAGAACUCCGAUUGCGAAGGCAGCUCACUGGAGCGCAACUGACGCUGAAGCUCGAAAGUGCGGGUAUCGAACAGGAUUAGAUACCCUGGUAGUCCGCACGGUAAACGAUGGAUGCCCGCUGUUGGUCUGAAUAGGUCAGCGGCCAAGCGAAAGCAUUAAGCAUCCCACCUGGGGAGUACGCCGGCAACGGUGAAACUCAAAGGAAUUGACGGGGGCCCG